GAAUGCUUGCAUUGUAUUGUGGAUGGCCUUUCAUAAGUUUCAUAAGUUGUGAUCCCAAACAAGGAAGAUUCUAUCGCCAUUUUAGACUGCUAAGAACCACGAUUUCAAGAGAUCAACCUAGGACAAGUGGAGGACAGAGAGAAAAGCAUACCCGCAGAGGGUUUUGAAGUGAGCUCAGUGAUACCAACUGAAGAAAAAGUAUACCAUCAUGGCUGAAGAAGCCGGUAGGUACACACCUCUUUACAUUUACAGUUCAAAGUAUUUUGGACAAUUCUUAUAGGGAAUAUCUAUAAGCCUGAUUUAUGUCUAUUUAUAAUAAAAAUGGACAAGUUUUCUUCGUGAAAUGAUAUACGUUCUUCCUAACGUACAACCACCUUGAUUAAGUACGAAUACAAUUCAUUGAUAUUUAGUGUAAUGACAAUAUAAUCAUUCUAUUUUUGAUCCUAUACUGCGGAAGCGGCUCUGGGCCGACCCUGGGCCGUUCUAAAUUAGACCGGCCUAGUCCGUUCAUACUGCGAAUUUUCUACCCUUUGCGACCACCCAAGCCGGAAUAAUGAGGAGGAGUUUCUCUUCUGGAAAAGCCCAAUUUUUUUCCCGCGGUCGCGAUCAUUGGCCAUUUUACUUGGAAGUUGAAGUUGUAUUGUAAAUAGCAAUUAUACGUGCCAAUGCAAUACUCACUCUGCAUGCAUGACACGCAACACAGUGUAAGGGCCUGUGUAUAAAACGUACAACGUGUAUACGUACGUACAAGGCAAGCAAAUCACGACCGUACCGCGCGCAACAUAACACACGCGACUCAACCCGGAAACGGCAGGUACUGUUUCCGGCUUCGGGGCGACGUAAGUUAGGCCGAUCUAACCGUUCAUAAUGCAGCAAGAGCGGCCCUGGGCCGGCCCUGAACCACCUCCGAAAGUGGGUUUAGUUUAGGCCGCCCUAAAAUUUACGCCGGUCUCGUUUCCGUUUAUACUGGAUUUAGAGCGGCCCAGGGCCGGCCCUGGGCCGCCCUAAAUCCUCAGCAUGAAUGGGGUAUAACAUUACAAAUCAGACCCACCCCAUUAACCACACGAAAGGUUUUAAAAACGUUUUCAAGAAAGUUUUCAAUAAAAGGUUCCAUAAUAUAGUGGCAACCCCUGCAACCUUCUAAU